ACUCUUGGGGAGCCAGUGACAAAUUGAGGUUUUUAGAUCCAUAAUUCUCAAGUGCCUUUGGUGUUUUUGGAUUCUUAUUAACACCUUGAUGACCUCUGGUACGCGAAGGUUCUUGUUAGGCAAUGGGAAAGCUCAUCUUGUACAGUGGCCUGUACAGUAAGUUGUUUAUAUAGUUAUUCUUCGACCUUGGUAGUACGUUUCUCACUACUACUUAAUGAAGUUGUUUAAGUAUGAUACCUGGGCUUAACUUUAAGUUCCCGAGGGGUAAUAUGUUUUUGGGUUGAUGAGCCCUUUUGUUCUUGUUGACUAAUUGGGGAAACAUUUCUGAUAUUUAGGCAUGACUUCAUU
rnacentral:lncRNA from 1 species